CAAACUUGAGAGUUUGAUCCUGGCUCAGAACGAACGCUGGCGGCAUGCCUAACACAUGCAAGUCGAACGAA
rnacentral:rRNA from 1 species